rnacentral:rRNA from 1 species
UACGGAGGAUUCAAGCGUUAUCCGGAUUUAUUGGGUUUAAAGGGUGCGUAGGCUGUGAGGUAAGUCAGCGGUGAAAUGCCCCCGCUCAACGGGGUGAAGUGCCAUUGAUACUGCCUUGCUGGAAUGCGGAUGCCGUGGGAGGAAUGUGUGGUGUAGCGGUGAAAUGCGUAGAUAUAAGGAAGAACACCAGUGGCGAAGGCGGAUGACUGGACGGCAACUGACGGUGAGGCGCGAAAGCGUGGGGAGCAAACAGG